GUUCUCACUCCCCUGUCCUCGUGUUUUCCCUCCAGCUUAGAUUUCUUAACUAUGUCAGGAUUCUCCACAGCCCUUGACCAGCACAAGAUUACUUGUAUUCUCAAGCUGUUUAUUCCCCUCAGUUUGUUUCCUCCAUCUUUCCCCCAUCCCAUAUCAACUCAUUUGUUAGCCUGAGGUCUUUUCUUCUUGACCCAGAGACUUUUCACCUCAUCUUUUUGCUGUCUACUACCUUUCCCAUUUCAAGGGAAAACCUGCAUUAUUAUAUCUUAGCCAGACUAUUUUGGCAGGAUGCUGAUUUUGACUCCACCUUUCUCUUGGAUGAUAAAUAAGUUCUUUCAUUUAUUCACUUAUUCAGUCAGUCAUCCAUUUAAUAUACAUUUCUGGAGCACCUAUUAGGUGCCAGACCCUCUGCUGGAGGCUGAGUAUGCAAUGGACAGUGAUCUAGCAGAGAGAGAAGUGUAAACAAAUGCUUAAACUGUGUAAGCACUGCUAGAGUGGAGAUAUAUGUAUAGAAUGGGGUUUCAUGAUGGGCAAGGGAGAGGCUGAGCUGCCUUCUGCAUAGUUGAGUCUGAGAAAGCUUUACACAGCACUAGUAACAUUAGUUUUCCAGGCAGAAGGAGUGGUAUAUAUGGAGUCAUGUGAAACCAGGUGUGUUAGAGAACUACAGAUGGUUCCAUAUUGUGAGCUGAAAUUUUCAUAUGGGGCAGGGUGGCAGUGAGGCCAGAUGACCGACCACCCUAGUGGCCUAAUAUGAAUUGCAAUUCUUUGGUCUCUUGUAGCUAUCCCAGUGGAAAUUGCUUCGACAGGAACUGUUGAAGUACCUGGAAUACUUCUUGAUGGCUGUCAUUAAUGGGUGUCAGAUGUCUGUCCCACCCAACAGGACUGAAGCCAUGUGGGAAGAUUUUAUAACCUGCUUAAAGGAUCAAGAUCUGAUAUUUUCUGCAGCAUUUGAGGCCCAGUCUUGCUACCUCUUAACAAAAACUGCUGUUUCUAGACCUUUGUUUUUGGUUUUGGAUGACAAUUUUUAUUAUCAGAGUAUGAGAUAUGAAGUCUACCAGCUGGCUCGGAAAUAUUCGUUGGGCUUUUGCCAGCUCUUAUUAGAUUGUCCUCUUGAGACCUGUUUACAGAGGAAUGGCCAGAGGCCACAGGCACUGCCUCCUGAGACCAUCCACCUGAUGGGAAGAAAGCUAGAAAAGCCCAACCCUGAGAAAAAUGCUUGGGAACACUACAGCCUCACAAUUCCGAGUCCAGCAUGUGCUUCGGAGGCCAGCCUGGAGGUGACUGAUUUAUUGCUCACUGCUUUGGAAAAUCCAGUAAAAUAUGCUGAGGACAAUAUGGAACAAAAGGACACAGACAGAAUUAUUUGUUCAACUAACAUUCUUCAUAAAACUGAUCAGACACUCCGAAGGAUUGUAUCUCAGACAAUGAAGGAAGCAAAAGGUAAUCAGGAAGGCUUCUCAGAGAUGACAUUUAAGCAAAGAUGGGUAAGAGCGAACCAUGCAGCUAUCUGGAGGAUUAUUCUAGGCAAUGAACACAUCAAGUGCAGAAGCCCAAAGGUUGGCUGGUUGCAGUGUUGCAGAAUCGAGAAGAGGCCAUUGAGCAUGGGGUGAGAUGAACAAGUGCUUCCUCACAACUUGAAGCUUCUAGCGGAAGAACUUAACAAGCUCAAAGCAGAGUUUUUGGAAGACCUAAAACACGGAAACAAAAAAUAUCUGUGCUUUCAGCAAACCAUUGACAUAUCAGAUGUCAUUUCUUUUUUUCAUUAUGAGAAAGAUAAUAUUGUACAGAAGUAUUUUUCAAAGCAGCAUUAAAAUUUCUGAACUGCCAAUCAAAUGUCUCAUUUUGAAAGAAACUGAAGAGACCUGAUGCUCAUAAUCAGGAAAAUCGGCAAAUGGCUGGGACUACAACCCUGGUCUCUUGAAUCCUGUUUGGAAAUCUGUGCGUUAGGAGGGAAAUUUCCAUUCCUACAGCUUCAUGGGAAAAGGUCUACUCCAUUUCAGGAGGUAACAGUGCUGGCAUGCACAAUUCAAGCCCCCUGCUUCACCGGUUCCUCACUCCUCACUAGGAGAAGUGAUUCUGCUAGUUGAGACAAGACCAAUAACCAAGAGGGCUACACUGCAUUCGAGGGACAAGGCUCAGUGUCUUCCUCUCUCCCACUGCUUUCCCAAGCCAGUCACUAUCACAUUUUAAUGUGUAUGUGAAUUACUUGGGGGAUCUUAUUAAAACACAUAUUAUAAUUC
rnacentral:sRNA from 1 species